rnacentral:rRNA from 1 species
GUUGGUGAGGUAAAGGCUUACCAAGGCGAUGAUCGGUAGCUGGUCUGAGAGGAUGAUCAGCCACACUGGGACUGAGACACGGCCCAGACUCCUACGGGAGGCAGCAGUGGGGAAUUUUGGACAAUGGGGGCAACCCUGAUCCAGCCAUUCCGCGUGAGUGAAGAAGGCCUUCGGGUUGUAAAGCUCUUUUGUCCGGAGCGAAACGGGCGGCCCUAAUACGGUCGUCUACUGACGGUACCGGAAGGAUAAGCACCGGCUAACUACGUGCCAGCAGCCGCGGUAAUACGUAGGGUGCGAGCGUUAAUCGGAAUUACUGGGCGUAAAGCGUGCGCAGGCGGUUUUGUAAGCCAGAUGUGAAAUCCCCGGGCUCAACCUGGGAAUGGCAUUUGGGACUGCAAGGCUGGAG